GCAGAUGUGAGUUCUGACAUGAUGGUGGAGGUCAGUGCUGCAGGGAGGUGGGUCAUUCACUUCAUGAUGGUGGAGGUCAGUGCUACAGUGAGGUGGGUCAUUCACUUCAUGAUGGUGGAGGUCAGGGCUACAGGGAGGUGGGUCAUUCACUUCAUGAUGGUGGAGGUCAGGGCUACAGUGAGGUGGGUCAUUCACUUCAUGAUGGUGGAGGUCAGGGCUACAGGGAGGUGGGUCAUUCACUUCAUGAUGGUGGAGGUCAGGGCUACAGUGAGGUGGGUCAUUCACUUCAUGAUGGUGGAGGUCAGGGCUACAGUGAGGUGGGUCAUUCACUUCAUGAUGGUGGAGGUCUGUGCUACCGGGAGGUGGGUCAUUCACUUCAUGAUGGUGGUGGUCUGUGCUGCAGGGAGGUGGGUCAUUCACUUCAUGAUGGUGGAGGUCAGUGCUGCAGGGAGGUGGGUCAUUCACUUCAUGAUGGUGGAGGUCAGUGCUGCAGGGAGGUGGGUCAUUCACUUCAUGAUGGUGGAGGUCAGUGCUGCAGGGAGGUGGGUCAUUCACUUCAUGAUGGUGGAGGUCAGUGCUGCAGGGAGGUGGGUCAUUCACUUCAUGAUGGUGGAGGUCUGUGCUACAGGGAAGUGGUCAUUCACUUCAUGAUGGUGGAGGUCAGGGCUACAGGGAGGUGGUCAUUCACUUCAUGAUGAUGGAGGUCAGGGCUACAGGGAGGUGGUCAUUCACUUCAUGAUGAUGGAGGUCAGGGCUACAGGGCGGUGGUUGUUCAGGCAGGUGAUGGAAGGUUUCUUCGGUACAGGAACGAUGGUGGUCUGUUUGAAGCAGGAGGGGACUGUAGACAGGGAGAGGUUGAAAAUGGAGGUGAAAACCUCUGCUUGUUGGUCAGUGCACCCCCCGAGGACAUGUCCUGGAAUGCCAUCUGGCCCUGGUGACUUCCAAGGACUUUUUAAAAACUCUCCUCACGUCAGCCAUGGUUAGGGACAGAGUGCAGUCGUCCUGGUCCUCAACAAGCCUCACUGAAGGAGUUGUGUUGGUCGCCUCAAACUGUGUAUAGAAGGAGUUGAGCUGGUCAGGGAGCGAGGCAGUGGGACGAACAUCAUUACUAUUCCUCCCUUUUGUAUUCUGUGACGUCGCAGUCCUCCCCACAACUGGGGUCAGAGCUGUGGUAGUUAGACUCAAACUUAUCCCUG
ensembl:lncRNA